rnacentral:rRNA from 1 species
UCAGAGUGAACGCUGGCGGCGUGCCUAAUACAUGCAAGCGAACGAUGAAGCUUCUAGCUUGCUAGAAGUGGAUUAGUGGCGCACGGGUGAGUAACGCAUAGAAACAUGCCCUUUAGUCUAGGAUAGCCACUGGAAACGGUGAUUAAUACUGGAUACUCCCUACGGGGGAAAGAGGCUCUCAAUAGAGAAUUUCGGCUUUGGACGAUAAAUCAAUGAGCUUGAAAAAAUCUCGCUCACAUACGCUAAGUAUGCUACGCUUCGAUUUUUUCUACGCAAACAUUGAUUUCUCAUUCCAAAUCCUAGAAAUUCUUGUUUGAUAUAGAGAGAUUAUGGAAAAUUUAGGAUUUUGGAAUGAUUUUGCAGGUUGUGAAAAUUUUGCAACGAAGAUAAGACAAAAUGGUCUAUCGAGGAAGCAAAAUUUGAACUCCUGCAAAAGCAGCCAAAAGACAAAUUUUCUAUUGAGAGCUUUCGCUAAAGGAUUGGUCUAUGUCCUAUCAGCUUGUUGGUGAGGUAAUGGCUCACCAAGGCUAUGACGGGUAUCCGGCCUGAGAGGGUGAUCGGACACACUGGAACUGAGACACGGUCCAGACUCCUACGGGAGGCAGCAGUAGGGAAUAUUGCUCAAUGGGGGCAACCCUGAAGCAGCAACGCCGCGUGGAGGAUGAAGGUUUUAGGAUUGUAAACUCCUUUUGUGAGAGAAGAUAAUGACGGUAUCUCACGAAUAAGCACCGGCUAACUCCGUGCCAGCAGCCGCGGUAAUACGGAGGGUGCAAGCGUUACUCGGAAUCACUGGGCGUAAAGAGUGCGCAGGCGGGCUUGUAAGUCAGAUGUGAAAUCCUGUAGCUUAACUACAGAACUGCAUUUGAAACUAUGAGUCUAGAGUGUGGGAGAGGUAGGUGGAAUUCUUGGUGUAGGGGUAAAAUCCGUAGAUAUCAAGAGGAAUACUCAUUGCGAAGGCGACCUACUGGAACAUUACUGACGCUCAUGCACGAAAGCGUGGGGAGCAAACAGGAUUAGAUACCCUGGUAGUCCACGCCCUAAACGAUGAAUGCUAGUUGUUGUGGAGCUUGUCUCUGCAGUAAUGCAGCUAACGCAUUAAGCAUUCCGCCUGGGGAGUACGGUCGCAAGAUUAAAACUCAAAGGAAUAGACGGGGACCCGCACAAGCGGUGGAGCAUGUGGUUUAAUUCGAAGAUACGCGAAGAACCUUACCUAGGCUUGACAUUGAUAGAAUCCUAUAGAGAUAUGGGAGUGCCCUUUUAGGGAGCUUGAAAACAGGUGCUGCACGGCUGUCGUCAGCUCGUGUCGUGAGAUGUUGGGUUAAGUCCCGCAACGAGCGCAACCCUCGUCCUUAGUUGCUAGCAGUUCGGCUGAGCACUCUAAGGAGACUGCCUUCGUAAGGAGGAGGAAGGUGAGGACGACGUCAAGUCAUCAUGGCCCUUACGCCUAGGGCUACACACGUGCUACAAUGGGGUGCACAAAGAGACGCAAUACUGCGAAGUGGAGCAAAUCUCUAAAACAUCUCUCAGUUCGGAUUGUAGUCUGCAACUCGACUACAUGAAGCUGGAAUCGCUAGUAAUCGCAAAUCAGCCAUGUUGCGGUGAAUACGUUCCCGGGUCUUGUACUCACCGCCCGUCACACCAUGGGAGUUGUAUUCGCCUUAAGUCGGAAUACUAAAUUGGUUACCGCCCACGGCGGAUGCAGCGACUGGGGUGAAGUCGUAACAAGGUAACCGUA